UGAGCAUGCUAUCGGGAAGAUUGCCUGUGACGUUAAUACCUCCACGACUCAGUCGUGACUGAGGAUCAAACCGGUUUGAAUUUCAAUCGUGGCAGUAGCACGCGUGGAACAAAAUAUCUACGCAGCGUUUUCGGUUUUGUCAGACGGGUUUUGUCGGGUUUGAUCAGACGGAAUCAGUAUUUUAUAAUCCGACAUUUAAUGAAUACAGGGAUCGUGAUAUACGAGCAUCAGCAAGAGUUUAACGGAUUUCGGAGACUUUAAAUACAAAUGGUUUCGGAGACUUUAAGUACAAAAGAAGUAAUUUAAAAAUUUGUAAACUUGAGAAGUUCGUAUUGCCAAGAAUUAAAGAAAAUCAAGGAUAAUCAAAGGCCAGGAAAAUCUACAAAUGAUGCCUAUAAACCAAACAAUAAUGUAGUUUACGAAAAUGAAUUCCUUUAUUCAUCCUUUUGUAUAAUGACGAGAAACUAUUAUUAUUACACCUUAAUAUUUGAUAUUAAUACGGAUAAUCUCUUACAAUGAUCGAAUUAGGAGUUCGCUCUAACGUAGGUAUAUCGGAAGCAAUAAUUACUAUCAACCAAAGCAAGCAAUACGAUAUUGUAACUGUUCUUAAUAUUGCAGUAGCCUGAGCCACUUAAAGGAGAUUUUAUGACGAUGUAUUUUCCAUCGAGAGUUUCUAUGCAUUCUGGAAAAUUCUAAUGCGUUUUGAGUCCAUAUUAAAUAUUUUUCUUAUAUUCUUGUAUCAUCGGUACUUGAAAAAAUUAUUUGUGUUCUCAUAUGUUGCAAAGAAAUAAUACUGAAAUUGAAGUUAAUCAAAAAAAGGACAAAUGAUAAUGGGAAAUAUUGUUAAUGAUGAGACUUUUUCUCACAAAAAAGAAAAAAAGCAGAAGGUGAGCAAAAAUUUAGUCUUUAUUUAUCAUGCUUUAAAUAAACUCCAACACGAGCGGUACAAAUUGCAGAGAAGAAGAAUAACUAGAAUCAUUUCAGCAAAUAUUAGGAUCGUUAUUGCGAAUCAUCGAAUUUCCAAAUGCAACAAUGAAUUAUAAUUUUGUUUGUAAACAGAAUGUGUACAUCAACUAUUCAAUAUCAAUAUAAUAACUCAUCUGUACCAAGUUUAUAUAUUAUGCAGUGAAACUUCUGAAUAUAUUUAUUCACCUUCGAAUGAAUUAACCUUA